GGGCUAAAGUGAAAUUUUACCUUUAUUAAUUUAAAUUUUUUUUAAAAAUUUAAGAGCCUAAAAUGUAAUUUUAUAUUUUAAGGGCCGGGGGGCCAUGCGGCUUCGCCCCUGGUUUUGAUAUAAAGAAAAAUGUAUAAAGCUCUAAAAAAAAUGUCAAGAGUUAACAGAAAAAUUGGUUAAAGGUGGUGGAAGAUCCCAAACGUAA
rnacentral:lncRNA from 1 species